rnacentral:rRNA from 1 species
AAGAGCCUACCAAGGCGACGAUCAGUAACUGGUCUGAGAGGACGACCAGUCACACUGGGACUGAGACACGGCCCAGACUCCUACGGGAGGCAGCAGUGGGGAAUUUUCCGCAAUGGGCGAAAGCCUGACGGAGCAAUACCGCGUGAGGGAGGAAGGCUCUAGGGUUGUAAACCUCUUUUCUCAGGGAAGAACAAAAUGACGGUACCUGAGGAAUAAGCAUCGGCUAACUCCGUGCCAGCAGCCGCGGUAAUACGGAGGAUGCAAGCGUUAUCCGGAUUUAUUGGGCGUAAAGCGUCCGCAGGUGGCAGUUCAAGUCUGCUGUCAAAGGUCGGGGCUCAACCCCGAACAGGCAGUGGAAACUGAACAGCUAGAGUACGGUAGGGGCAGAGGGAAUUCCCAGUGUAGCGGUGAAAUGCGUAGAGAUUGGGAAGAACACCGGUGGCGAAAGCGCUCUGCUAGGCCUGCACUGACACUAAGGGACGAAAGCUAGGGGAGCGAAUGGGAUUAGAUACCCCAGUAGUCCUAGCCGUAAACGAUGGAUACUAGGCGUAGCUUGUAUCGACCCAAGCUGUGCCGUAGCUAACGCGUUAAGUAUCCCGCCUGGGGAGUACGCUCGCAAGAGUGAAACUCAAAUGAAUUGACGGGGG